UUAAGUCACCUUUAUGUUUCCAGCACUGCAGGAUAAUCUAAUGGGAUUGACUGAUCUUUGCACAAUUUCAAUGCUCUUCUGUUCCACCAUGCUGUGACCCUAUUCCUGUCGACAGAUAUUGACAUUGAGUUAUUGAGAUUUGAAGGAUGCAGUAUUUACAUUGCUAUCAGCGCUGGAUGGUUCGUGGCUUAAGUUGUGGCCUUGUGUGUCUUGCCUUUACGUUGUGGUUCUGCAAAAAGUCAACAACCAAAAGAAAAGUAAAAGAAAAGAAGACCCUGCUUCAGAAAGAAGCAGAGAGAACACAAGAAGAGCUGACUUUUUUGUCAGAGUUUAUCCCUCAAAUUGUGGAACUGAAGAGAGGACAUCACCAGCAGAAGGAAGAAUUCAAACUGUUAGAGGAGAUAAAUAAAGAGCUGGCAGAAAACAAGGAGAAACUUCGUCUGGUAGAGAAUGAAAUAACAAAGAGUGAGAAAGAAAAAGAGAUGGACAAAACGGAAAGAUACUUGCAGGAAAAACAAAGUCUAUUAAGUUUUCAGCGUAAACUGGAGAAGAGAAAGGAAGAACUGGAGAAUCUACACCUGAACAUGGGGAAACAGCUGCAGCAUAUAAAGGAUAUACUGAGCAGAAUGACAGAAAGAAGGACAAAAUUAGAAAACAAUUAUAAGGUGAUCAAGUUGCAGCUGCAGGAGGUAGAAAAUCAGUGAUUAGUAGUGAGAAAGAAUAAAUAAAUGAUGUACACUGAUUGAUUAACCUUACUAUCUGACAUGAUAUCUUAAAUAAAACAAUCGUUAGCUGCAAAGAAGAAUAAUCUAAGAAAGAUAGCAAUAUUUUUUUCAAUUUAUGAUAAAUUAUAUUCAUGUUGUUUGAGUAAGAAAGUUUAAAAAGACAGGAAUUAUCUCAAUAGACUAAACAGAGAGAUGGCGCUGAAAAGGAUGCACAGCAGGUCGAGUAAGAAGGAAACGUACUAAUGCGUGAAGAGGGUAUGCUGAGAAAACGGAAAGGGUACUCUGAGGAGAUGAUGGGUGGACAGAAGUUAAUGAAUCAGGAAGUGCAGAGGAUUAGUAACGAGGAAGUUAGGGCAGCUAUGGAAAGACAGUUGGUCAGGAUUCCAUACCUGUGGAGGUAUAGAGAAGUCUGGUAAAAAGGCCAGUUGACUUUUUCACUAGAUUUUUUUUAACAGUCUUGGGGAGUGAGAGCACGCAUGAGGAAUGGAGAAUUGCACUGGAUGGUGUUCAGAGCUGUGGAAAUUAAAAACAAUUAAAUUUGAUUAAGAAUGUUUUGUUAAUAAAAAACAGAAAAGAGAACUGUUCAAGCAAGGAAGAAAGCUGAAAGGAACAAAUGUCUAUUUAAACGAACACCUAAUCAAGAAAAAUGCAGACAUUGCAAGACAAGCAAGAAUACUAAGAAAACAGAAGUAAAUACAGUCAACUUGGAUGUCAGAUUGUAAGAUAUUCAUUAAAUUAAAUGGAACACCAGAGCAGGCAAAAGUUCUAGUCAUCAAAGAGAUGACCGAACUAGAAAAACAUAACUGAUAAAUCAUAAUGCAAAGCAGUGUAUGAUGGCAUUUGUCUAAGUUGCACAACCAACUCAGAUGUCUGACAGUUUCAUGUAUCAACUCAUAUAGAUAUUGACAAUAGGACAUAUGUAUGUCCUGGUGUAUCACAGCAAUAUAGAUCCUGAUUGUAAUUUCUUUCACAAUAAGAUAAAUGAAUUCAAUUAUUAUAGACAUGAACAAUUUAAAAAGAAAAUAAAGGUAGAAAAGGGUAUAACAAUGGUUCACUUUAAUAGAAGAAGCCUAUAUGCAAACUUUCAAUCCAUCAAAGAAAGCAAUAUACAGUUUAAACAGCCAUUCAAGAUGAUAGCCAUAUCAGAGACCUGGAUAACUCCUGAAAAAGAAGCAGACUUAAAGAAAUAAACGGAUAUGAAUUCCUUUAUUUAGACAGGGUCAACAAAAAAGGAGGUAUUUCAAUAUUGCUUUGAGGUAUUUCAAAAAGCGCUCCUGGAGCUGGAUCCUGCAAACCUUUUAGCCAAGGUUCAGAGAGUGAAGAAUCACCUCUGUGCAUUGUAGAUGACUACAUUUCACAAAAUGGGACUUUUUAAAUGGAUAUCCAUCAAAAGGUUAAUGCAUUGUGUUGAUGUGAUGUCAUUUCCAUUGUAGAGAAAGCAUUUUUUGGACUAACGAAAUCUCAAAUAUGUCAAAAAAAAGCAAAGGGAAUUGUUCUAAAAAAUAACCAUAACCUGAAGAUGUUUUUCAUACAGGCCAGUAACCCGAGGAAGGGUCUAAGCUUGUUCUUGUGUUAUCACAGUUCUUGUGUAAUUUACUAGGGGGAUGGAACAUAAACCAUUGGCCUUUUUCAUUGUUGUGUUCAUUUUGUUUUUUAAAUAAUCUGAGCUUUUGUGUUUGCUCUCCUGGUUUGCCAUUUAUCCUUUAAGUAUGUAAGGCUUUGAGACAAAAGGGAAAAGGCCCUUGUCUUUUUAGUGCUUGUUUAUUUCAAGUUAUUGCCAUGUUUAUGAAAAUAAAUUUUUCAUUUGGAAAAAAUGUUAGCAUGUGGUCAUUUAUUCAUAAAUGUAUUA